rnacentral:rRNA from 1 species
ACGGGUGAGUAACACGUGGGAACAUACCCUUCGGUUCGGAACAACGCCGGGAAACUGGCGCUAAUACCGGAUACGGCUUACGGGCGAAAGAUUGAUCGCCGAAGGAUUGGCCCGCGUUCGAUUAGCUUGUUGGUGAGGUAACGGCUCACCAAGGCGACGAUCGAUAGCUGGUCUGAGAGGAUGGCCAGCCACAUUGGGACUGAGACACGACCCAAACUCCUACGGGAGGCAGCAGUGGGGAAUAUUGGACAAUGGGCGCAAGCCUGAUCCAGCCAUGCCGCGUGAGUGAUGACGGCCUUAGGGUUGUAAAGCUCUUUCGCACGCGACGAUAAUGACGGUAGCGUGAGAAGAAGCCCCGGCUAACUUCGUGCCAGCAGCCGCGGUAAUACGAAGGGGGCUAGCGUUGUUCGGAAUCACUGGGCGUAAAGGGUGCGUAGGCGGAUUCUUAAGUCAGGGGUGAAACCCCGAGGCUCAACCUCGGAACUGCCUUUGAUACUGGGGAUCUUGAGUCCGGAAGAGGUGAGUGGAACUGCGAGUGUAGAGGUGAAAUUCGUAGA